AGUGGUGGGGACGCUGGGCCAGCCCUCACCCCCGAUGCUCCUGGAGCUUCAAGCAGAAAAAGGCCAAGGUCCAGGACAGGGCAGCCUCGCACCUGGCACAGCACAGCGGGCUGGGGAUCUCAAGCAGCCCAGACAACCGUAGGCCAACUAAAACUGAUGACCUGUGUGUAGUGGGGGAGUGGUCAAACUCACCCACAACUCCAAAGCUCAUGUAUCGGGCAUUCCCCCAGGCGCACAAGCCACCUGAGGGCCCCCUCAGUCACUUAAUCUUGGUAAAGGCCCAGAUAGAGCCCAGGGGGUCCGCAAAUGCCCAUCUCACAGUGGAGGCACUGGGGCUCGACGA